rnacentral:lncRNA from 1 species
GCUGGGGCUGAGCCUUCUAGACUGAGGUGGCCAACUUAGCCAGCUAUUUAAGGCUUCAGGGCAGAGGAAAGAGCAGUCUAGGGCUUGGGUUUUGUUGGAUUUGGCUGCUAACUCUCAGGCAUCUUGUUUAGCUGUGGCUCGCCUUAUUGCCUGCCUUCUGCUCUGCCUUUAAGACAUUGUCUUUUUAACUCCUAAAGUGCUCAAUGGAAACUUUUGGAAAAUCAGGUUUCAAGCUGAACAAAACUGUGAACUUUUCAAUGCUGAAAAUCUCUAUGGAAGAUAGAAAGCCCCAGCCAGAUGUGAUCAAAAGUAGAUGAACUUAGAAACAUGUUCAGUCCUAGAUUAAGUCAGAGUAUUUGGAUUGCAGAAAGUGGUGGAUGAUGUAAAAGCUCUGAUUUAUCUAGGGACAUUAAAAGCUUUAAGGGAGCAAAACAUAGCAUCAAGGUAAAGAGCUAAAUGAUAACAAGAGAGAAGAAUCACCAUCAUUCCAGGCAGGUUUCUGAAAGCAAAUGGAUGAAAAGAUUAUUAAAUCCACUGGUGAUAAAUGUUCUCCAUUACUCAAUUCAUUUUUCAGGCUCUGAAAGGAAAAAGGCUAAGCUAAAGAGUUUUAGAAUUGAAGCUGCAAAUGAAAUAUGGAUAGGCACAGGGCUAACCCACGUGUGUCAGUGUGAUGACCUCUUUGGGCAGUUGUAGUUCUAAGUAUGACAUCCUCUCUAGCAGAAGUCUAACUUUUUAGAUGGAAGUUUAGGGUCCCAAGUUUUCU